rnacentral:rRNA from 1 species
UACGUAGGGGGCAAGCGUUGUCCGGAUUUAUUGGGCGUAAAGAGCGUGUAGGCGGCUUUGCAAGUCCGUUGUGAAAACUCGAGGCUCAACCUCGAGACGCCGGUGGAAACUGCAAAGCUAGAGUCCGGAAGAGGAGAGUGGAAUUCCUGGUGUAGCGGUGAAAUGCGCAGAUAUCGGGAAGAACACCCGUGGCGAAGGCGGCUCUCUGGAACGCAACUGACGCUGAGACGCGAAAGCGUGGGGAGCAAACAGG